rnacentral:rRNA from 1 species
GAUGAACGCUGGCGGCGUGCUUAACACAUGCAAGUCGAACGGUGAAGCUCCAGUUUGCUGGAGUGGAUCAGUGGCGAACGGGUGAGUAACACGUGAGCAACCUGCCCCUGACUCUGGGAUAACAGCCGGAAACGGCUGCUAAUACCGGAUAUGCACCAUGAACGCAUGUUCUGUGGUGGGAAAGAUUUUUCGGUUGGGGAUGGGCUCGCGGCCUAUCAGCUUGUUGGUGAGGUAAUGGCUCACCAAGGCGUCGACGGGUAGCCGGCCUGAGAGGGUGACCGGCCACACUGGGACUGAGACACGGCCCAGACUCCUACGGGAGGCAGCAGUGGGGAAUAUUGCACAAUGGGCGAAAGCCUGAUGCAGCAACGCCGCGUGAGGGAUGACGGCCUUCGGGUUGUAAACCUCUUUUAGCAGGGAAGAAGCGAGAGUGACGGUACCUGCAGAAAAAGCGCCGGCUAACUACGUG